rnacentral:rRNA from 1 species
AGAGUUUGAUCCUGGCUCAGAACGAACGCUGGCGGCGUGGAUAAGACAUGCAAGUCGAACGAGAACUUUUCUGGUAGCAAUACCGGGAAAGUUUUAGUGGCGAACGGGUGCGUAACACGUGGGCAAUCUGCCGAGAAGUGGGGGAUAGCUCGCCGAAAGGCGAAUUAAUACCGCAUGUGAUCAGGAGAGACAUCUCUUCGACAUCAAAGCCAGGGCAACCUGGCGCUUCUUGAUGAGCCCGCGGCCUAUCAGCUAGUUGGUGAGGUAACGGCCCACCAAGGCUUUGACGGGUAGCUGGUCUGAGAGGACGACCAGCCACACUGGAACUGAGACACGGUCCAGACACCUACGGGUGGCAGCAGUCGAGAAUUUUUCUCAAUGGGGGAAACCCUGAAGGAGCGACGCCGCGUGUGGGAGGACGCCUUUCGGGGUGUAAACCACUGUUGCCCGGGACGAACACCUCUUUUCGAAGAGGCUGACGGUACCGGGUGAGGAAGCACCGGCUAACUCCGUGCCAGCCGCCGCGGUAAUAC